rnacentral:rRNA from 1 species
CGGACGGGUGAGUAAUGUCUGGGAAACUGCCUGAUGGAGGGGGAUAACUACUGGAAACGGUAGCUAAUACCGCAUAACGUCGCAAGACCAAAGAGGGGGACCUUCGGGCCUCUUGCAAUCGGAUGUGCCCAGAUGGGAUUAGCUAGUAGGUGGGGUAACGGCUCACCUAGGCGACGAUCCCUAGCUGGUCUGAGAGGAUGACCAGCCACACUGGAACUGAGACACGGUCCAG